rnacentral:lncRNA from 1 species
GAAAUGUUGUGAUUGGCCAGCUGCUAAUGGAAUAGUACACGACCAAUGGGGCUUCAUGUUUUGGUUUUUUUACAUAAACCCUUAGGGUUUCCUAACAGCAUGGCUCAGCAUCAUGUUAUCAUGUUCAAAAAACAACAACAUUAAAAUCAAACCAAGCAAAAAAGACCAACAGCAUGGCAAAGGCAUUUCAUACAAGUUCAAAACAGCAGCAGUAUUCAUUCACCAUUCAAAGUUCAUCAUCAUCAAACUAUCA